UGCUAACCAUGUGUAUGUGACCAACACAAUUUGAUUUGAUUUGAUUUGAGACACCAAAUUCAUGGUCAACUCAUUCACAGUUGGCCAGGGGGCUAAGCUGGAGACGAUGACUGGAGAGAAGAACAAGGCUAAGGUGAACCUGGUUGGGAACAUGCUAAACGUCUCACUGAAGGGCAUUGAGUCAGUCACGGAACAUCAUCGUUACCAUGACGCUUCGCCCCAUCGUCUGCAAGAGGAUAAGUAAGCGCAUGUAGUGAUCUCUCAACCCUUUUUGAAUAAAUUAAGAACAU